CACUUCUGCUUGUACUCAGUUAGGUAGAAUUCAGUCACAUGGGCAAGCCUAAACGCAAGGGACAUUGAGAUAUGUAAUCUAGCCAUGUUUCAGGAAAAAGAGAAGAUGAAUUCUUUGGUGAACAGCCAGUGGUUUCUUUUACUAUUUUACCUGCUUUAUGUGAUGUGUGGUGAGCAUUUAGUUAAUACUUAAUAGGAAUUAAAUAUUUAGCAUCAUGUCUAGUAGUUGUUAGUAAUGAAUAAAGUUUUUUGAAUUUGCAUAGGAAAAAAGGCAACAUUAAGAAAUGUCCUCUCGAUGCUGGACUCAAGAUGGCGCUGUGAGAACAACCCAGGAUUGAAGCUCUCGCUGGACGCACGGAGAGGCUGUGGAAAACGCCUGUUAGUUGCUGAACGAUCAAAUAGAUGUAAGACGAAUAACUGGCUCCUGGCAAAAAUCGGAUUAAAUUGCCUCAAAAGUAACCAAGCUAAAAUGACAACAGGUCACCCUAAAAAAGAAACAAGAUAAUGGCUUUCAAAGGAAUGACAAAACACCUUUGGAGAAAAUUAGAGUUAAUUAGAUAUCUGAAGAUGGAAAACAAGCCAUCACCCUUCCAAAUGUUAGCUGUUGAUGACUGUUUCAUUUAGUGGGAGAUGCCACUUGGUAUAGAGAAAAAUGCACUGGGCUGUGCAUAAGUACGGUCUCAGCUGUACCAUGGACUGUUGGUGAGGUGUUGAGUACAUGUCCCAAGCUCACUGAACCUCAGUUUACUCAUCCAUAAAAUGAGGGCUUUUACCCACACAGUCUCAGAGCACAUUCAGUGAGUGGUAGUGAGGAUGAUGGUGGUGGUGUUGAGGGUGACCACAGUGAUCAUGAUGAUAAUGUAAUGGUGACAUAAUGAGCAUCGCAUUAGUAAGGGUUUUCUAGAGAAGCAGAGCCAACCAAUAGAAUGUUCUAAGACAUGCAGUUGGCAAAUUGGAGACCCAAGAAGAGCCAAUUUUCAGUUUGGAUCUGAAGACAGGAAAAGACUGAUACUCAGGGAAAGGUGAGUCUUUGCGUUCUAUGCAGUAUUUCGACCUAUUGGAUGAGGCCUACCAUAUUUAGGAAUGCAAUCUGCUUUACUCAGUCUUUCAAUUCAGAUAUUAAUUUUAUCUAGAAGCACCC
rnacentral:lncRNA from 1 species